AUUGAAGUGAUGAAUAUUUCCCCAAAUGAUCGAAAUUGAAAUUACCGAGCACUAUUCUCUUUUAGAGAAAAAUCCAAGCUAGGAUAUUCUAAUCCAU